rnacentral:rRNA from 1 species
GAUGAACGCUGGCGGCGUGCCUAAUACAUGCAAGUCGAGCGAACGGACGAGAAGCUUGCUUCUCUGAUGUUAGCGGCGGACGGGUGAGUAACACGUGGAUAACCUACCUAUAAGACUGGGAUAACUUCGGGAAACCGGAGCUAAUACCGGAUAAUAUUUUGAACCGCAUGGUUCAAAAGUGAAAGACGGUCUUGCUGUCACUUAUUGAUGGAUCCGCGCUGCAUUAGCUAGUUGGUAAGGUAACGGCUUACCAAGGCAACGAUGCAUAGCCGACCUGAGAGGGUGAUCGGCCACACUGGAACUGAGACACGGUCCAGACUCCUACGGGAGGCAGCAGUAGGGAAUCUUCCGCAAUGGGCGAAAGCCUGACGGAGCAACGCCGCGUGAGUGAUGAAGGUCUUCGGAUCGUAAAACUCUGUUAUUAGGGAAGAACAUAUGUGUAAGUAACUGUGCACAUCUUGACGGUACCUAAUCAGAAAGCCACGGCUAACUACGUG